GAUGAACGCUGGCGGCGUGCCUAACACAUGCAAGUCGAGCGAUCUCUUCGGAGAGAGCGGCGGACGGGUGAGUAACGCGUGGGUAACCUGCCCUGUACACACGGAUAACAUACCGAAAGGUAUGCUAAUACGGGAUAAUAUAUAAAAGUCGCAUGGCUUUUAUAUCAAAGCUCUUGCGGUACAGGAUGGACCCGCGUCUGAUUAGCUAGUUGGUAAGGUAACGGCUUACCAAGGCGACGAUCAGUAGCCGACCUGAGAGGGUGAUCGGCCACACUGGAACUGAGACACGGUCCAGACUCCUACGGGAGGCAGCAGUGGGGAAUAUUGCACAAUGGGCGAAAGCCUGAUGCAGCAACGCCGCGUGAGCGAUGAAGGCCUUCGGGUCGUAAAGCUCUGUCCUCAAGGAAGAUUAUGACGGUACUUGAGGAGGAAGCCCCGGCUAACUACGUGCCAGCAGCCGCCGUAA
rnacentral:rRNA from 1 species